GGGCGUGUGGCUCAGUUGGUAGAGCGUUCGCUUAGCAUACUCAAUUGUAUGCGAAAGGUCCUGGGUUCGAUUCCCAGCUCGUCCA
rnacentral:tRNA from 2 species